GACGAACGCUGGCGGCGUGCCUAAUACAUGCAAGUAGAACGCUGAAGGAGGAGCUUGCUUCUCUGGAUGAGUUGCGAACGGGUGAGUAACGCGUAGGUAACCUGCCUGGUAGCGGGGGAUAACUAUUGGAAACGAUAGCUAAUACCGCAUAAGAGUAGAUGUUGCAUGACAUUUGCUUAAAAGGUGCAAUUGCAUCACUACCAGAUGGACCUGCGUUGUAUUAGCUAGUUGGUGGGGUAACGGCUCACCAAGGCGACGAUACAUAGCCGACCUGAGAGGGGGAUCGGCCACACUGGGACUGAGACACGGCCCAGAGUCCUACGGGAGGCAGCAGUAGGGAAUCUGCGGCAAUGGACGGAAGUCUGACCGAGCAACGCCGCGUGAGUGAAGAAGGGUUUCGGAUCGUAAAGCUCUGUUGUAAGAGAAGAACGAGUGUGAGAGUGGAAAGUUCACACUGUGACGGUAUCUUACCAGAAAGGGACGGCUAACUACGUG
rnacentral:rRNA from 1 species